GGGAAUCUCACCCGGCCCGGACACCGCGAGGAUUGACAGACUGAGAGCUCUUUCUCGAUUCGGUGGGUGGUGGUGCAUGGCCGUUCUUAGUUGGUGGAGCGAUCUGUCUGGUUAAUUCCGAUAACGAACGAGACCCCAACCUGCUAACUAGCCCUCGGGUCCUGCUUCUGUUGGGCCCGACGGAAUGAUUCGCUUCUUAGAGGGACUCGCGGCGCCUAGCCGCACGAAGGGGGGCGAUAA
rnacentral:rRNA from 1 species